AUUUUUAGGAGCCCAAAAGUGUAGCACAAAUGUUUCACACUGACAGGGACAUUCCUUUUCCUUUGCCCAUUUCAGAGCUGCUCAGAAGACUCUGCUGAUCAGCAAAAAGAAGAAAUGAGGCAACAGCCAACAGCAGAAACAACAUGCCAAAACCUGAAGUGGAAUAGGGCUUGGAAGCCUUCUACAGCAAAGAGAAAAUAGCUUCCAUUAUGGUAAUCCAAGCUCCCUCAGACUCUUGAAGGGCAUUCCCAGGAAGCA
rnacentral:lncRNA from 13 species